UACGGAGGAUGCGAGCGUUAUCCGGAUUUAUUGGGUUUAAAGGGUGCGUAGGCGGAUUUUUAAGUCAGCGGUAAAAUGUCCGGGCUCAACCCGGGCCGGCCGUUGAAACUGGGGAUCUUGAGUGGGCGAGAAGUAUGCGGAAUGCGUGGUGUAGCGGUGAAAUGCAUAGAUAUCACGCAGAACUCCGAUUGCGAAGGCAGCAUACCGGCGCCCGACUGACGCUGAGGCACGAAAGCGUGGGGAUCGAACAG
rnacentral:rRNA from 1 species